rnacentral:rRNA from 1 species
ACCUGCCUUGUCCUGGGCGGGUAUGCAUUUCUCUAGACUUUGAAACACAAAGCCAGUCUUUCGCGGCUGGGUAUUUGUGUCUGGAGUCAUUAUAAACUGUGCGGAUCGCGCUUUUGCGCGAUAAAUCGAUUGAGUUUCUGCCCUAUCAGCUUUGGAUGGUAGGAUAUGGCCUACCAUGGCAUUAACCGGGUAACGGGGAAUUAGGGUUUGAUUCCGGAGAGGGAGCCUUAGAAACGGCUACCACAUCCAAGGAAGGCAGCAGGCGCGUAAAUUACCCAAUCCUGACACAGGGAGGUAGUGACAAUAAAUAACAAUGCUCUGGCUCUUCGAGUCGGGCAAUUGGAAUGAGAACAAUUUAAAUCCCUUAACGAGGAUCAAUUGGAGGGCAAGUCUGGUGCCAGCAGCCGCGGUAAUUCCAGCUCCAAUAGCGUAUAUUAAAGUUGUUGCAGUUAAAAAGCUCGUAGUUGGAUUUCUGUUUUGGAUGUCCGGUCCGCUCCCUCUGGGAGUGUGUACUUAUGGAUAUUCGAGGCAUUUUUUGUGAGGCUGCCUUUCUGCCAUUAAGUUGGUGGGUUGGUGGGCUUGCAUCGUUUACUGUGAAAAAAUUAGAGUGUUUAAAGCAGGCGUUUGCUCAUUUGAAUACAUUAGCAUGGAAUAAUAAGAUACGGCCUUGGUGGUCUAUUUUGUUGGUUUGCACACCAGGGUAAUGAUUAAUAGGGACAGUUGGGGGUAUUCAUAUUUCAGCGUCAGAGGUGAAAUUCUUGGAUCGCUGAAAGAUGAGCUUAGGCGAAAGCAUUUACCAAGGAUGUUUUCAUUAAUCAAGAACGAAAGUUAGGGGAUCGAAGAUGAUUAGAUACCAUCGUAGUCUUAACCCAUAAACUAUGCCGACUCGGGAUUGGCAGUCGUUUACUUUAAAUGACCUUGUCAGCACCGUAUGAGAAAUCAAAGUCUUUGGGUUCCGGGGGGAGUAUGGUCGCAAGGCUGAAACUUAAAUUUAUUACAAAUUUUACCUAUAAUAAAUUAUACUUUAUAUAAAAAUGAAUUAUGUAUUAAUAUUUCUUCAGAUAAAUUAAUUCCUAUUUUAUUUUUUUUUAAAAAUCAUACAAAUACACAAUUUAAAGUAUUAUCUGAAAUUUGUGCUGUUGAUUAUAUUAAUAAAGAAAAACGUUUUGAAAUUAUUUAUAAUUUAUUAAGUAUACGUUUUAAUAGUCGUUUAAAGAUUAAAAUUACAAUUAAUGAAUUACAACCUAUAAAUUCUAUUAUUAAAAUAUAUAGAGCUGCAAAUUGGUGUGAAAGAGAGGUUUGGGAUAUGUUUGGUAUUUUUUUUUUAAAUCAUCCAGAUUUAAGAAGAAUUUUAACUGAUUAUGGUUUUGAAGGACAUCCUUUACGUAAAGAUUUCCCUUUAAGUGGUUUUUUAGAAGUUUUUUAU